CCUACGGGAGGCAGCAGUGAGGAAUAUUGGUCAAUGGACGGAAGUCUGAACCAGCCAAGUAGCGUGCAGGAUGACGGCCCUAUGGGUUGUAAACUGCUUUUAUACGGGGAUAAAAUGUUCCACGUGUGUUGUUUUGUAGGUACCGUAUGAAUAAGGAUCGGCUAACUCCGUGCCAGCAGCCGCGGUAAUACGGAGGGUCCGAGCGUUAUCCGGAUUUAUUGGGUUUAAAGGGAGCGUAGGCGGAUUGUUAAGUGAGUGGUGAAAUGUCGGGGCUUAACCCUGGAACUGCAGCGAAAACUGGCGGUCUUGAGUGCAGAAGAGGUAGGCGGAAUGCGUGGUGUAGCGGUGAAAUGCUUAGAUAUCACGAAGAACUCCGAUUGCGAAGGCAGCUUACUGCACUGCAACUGACGCUGAGGCACGAAAGCGUGGGUAUCAAACAGGAUUAGAUACCCCAGUAGUC
rnacentral:rRNA from 1 species